rnacentral:rRNA from 1 species
CUUGACGACCAUAGAGCGUUGGAACCACCUGAUCCCAUCCCGAACUCAGUAGUGAAACGACGCAUCGCCGAUGGUAGUGUGGAGUUUCUCCAUGUGAGAGUAGGU